rnacentral:rRNA from 1 species
GACCGAAAGGGAAUACGGUUCCAAUUCCGUAACCUGUUGAGUAUACGCUUAAAAGAUUGGAUAUUAACAUGCAAUGAUGAAUAUUCAUCCUGGUAACAGGAACAACCAUAGAGACGCUGUCGGGAUAUAUCGAAAGAGUUUUCUUUUCUGUUUUAUAGAAGCAUAACCAUGGAAGUUUUUCGCAGAGAGAUAUGGUUAAUAGUCUAGAAGAGCAUGACAUUUACUGUUGUGUCGAUAUUCUCCCCUCAGACCUUGAAAAUCUAUGGUAGGGCUACGCAAAUUCUCAACAGACCGUACCGAUAUCCGCAGCUGGUCUCCA